UCGUUUUAUAAGAAUUGGGCAGCAAUCGACUGCUUUUCGAUCUCGUGUUAAAUUUUUCCAUACAACAUACAAAAUUAAAAGCUCCAUCAUCUUAGAAGAAUUCUUUCGAAGUUUCCUUUUAUAUAAAUUUUUUAGAUCGAACUACUAUCUUAACAAAAUUUGUAAGAUUGUUUGUUUGGCAACUAAACGUUAAGAAAAUUCAAUCAGGCCGAUCAAAAAUAUAAUAUGGUAAUAAAAAGUUUUACAAUCAGAUGGUUAAAAAUGAGUCUGGUUCUUUAUCAAAAACGUCAAGAGUAUAGAACUGUCGUAAAUGGCCAAUGAAAGUAAAUUUGGGCAUAUUAUGACAAUGAUUAGAUCCCGCUGACCUUGUCUAUAUAGAAUACUAUACAUAGCUGGGUGAAAAUUUUUGCUGCCAUCUGCAUUAAUUGCUUCAAGCUGUUCUCCAUAAAAGUUCAUGGCUCGUAAAUUGAAAUGUUUAUUAACAUGAUGAUGAUAAUGAUGAUGAUGAUUGUGAUGAUGGCAAAAGACGAUGUUUAUUUAAAUAAUUUUCGGACUGAAAAGGCUUGCGGCGGCGAGCGUCAACCAAAUUUCCUUAAGCAAAAUUAGAAAACUUUUGGCUUUAUCUUCUUCACUCUGGCCUAAGCAAAUAUUUUUACAAACAACAAACAAAUAUUG